rnacentral:rRNA from 1 species
CCGCGGUAAUACAUAGGGAGCAAGCGUUAUCCGGAUUUAUUGGGUGUAAAGGGUGCGUAGACGGGAAAUUAAGUUAGUUGUGAAAUCCCUCGGCUUAACUGAGGAACUGCAACUAAAACUGAUUUUCUUGAGUGAAGUAGAGGUUGGCGGAAUUCCGAGUGUAGCGGUGAAAUGCGUAGAUAUUCGGAGGAACACCGGUGGCGAAGGCGGCCAACUGGGCUUUAACUGACGCUGAGGCUCGAAAGUGUGGGGAGCAAACAGG